UUAGAUUCCAAUACACCAAGCAACAAUAGAACCCAUUCAUUAUUUACUCACGUGUUAAAUUUUUUUGUCAACAUUAGUCAAAAAUAGUAAAACAAAAAGUGUUAUAAGCCAUUGAGUCAAAUGAGAAGAACCGCUUUUCCACCGUCGCACUUCCCUCGACCACCGUCACGCUCACACCCUCGACCACGUCGAGCUUCACCGACGAAUUUCACACCGUUAUUCAUCCUUCUCACCCUCCACCGCAUUCUCAUUCCGUCCAGCUUCUCACCGUCUAACUGAAUCUCAACGUCAAGCUUCACACUUCACCGAUCAAGCUUCACAGUCGCGGAUCCAUUGAACUUCAUCAUCCUAUUUCAUAGUUGCAGAUCGAAUUUCACAAAUCCUUUUUCCCCUUUCGCUCACACAGGUUCCAUGUUAAUAAGAUGGCUUCAGCCUAUGUUUAUGUCAGGAUGCUCAAAGGUCACUAUUGAUGACAUGAGUGAAGGUUUAUUGGAAGAUUGUGCUGAAGUUGUCAAAGCGAAUUCAAUUCAAGUGCUGAUGGAGGUGAAAGGACGGUUAAGAAACUACAUUCAUCCAAAGCCCUAACUAUAUCUGAGGGGAUAUCAGUUUCAGAUGCAUGUCGCCGAAUGGCAGCGCGGCGCGUUGAUGCUGUUUUGUUGACUGAUGCCAAUGGUUUGUUAUUUGGAAUCAUGACUGACAAGGUUUGUGAAUUUUCUGUGUGAAUGUAUGUGUGUUCAUUGAGGGUGUGUGUAUUGUAUUAUGAGAUACAAGGCAAUAAGGUGUGUCUUGUGUUUAGGAUACUGCUACUAGAGUUAUUUCUGAGGGUCUGUGACCGGAUCAAUGGUGUCAAAAGUAAUGACCCGGAAUCCUUUAUUUGUGACAUCAGAUACGUUGGCUAUUGAUGCUCAUCAAAAGAUGGUCCAUGGUUGGCUUCAUUCCUACUGUUAAUACUUAAUAUCAUUGUUAUUACUGGACUUUAGGUGUAUAAAUCAAACUAGGAUGUCAUAUGCUGGUAAUAAUACUGUUGCCACAGAGGUAUUGUUAUGUUUGGAUGAUGCUAUGCUAACUGUUUUUGGCCAAUCCCAAUUAAUUUAAUACAUUUUGUGCUACAUUUUAAUGACGACUUUCUUAUAUAUAGUUAGUUAUCUGAUUAUAGUGCAUUGCGGAUAAAUUAAACUUGUGCUUUUGGAGGCUGAUGAUCACGCUUCAUUAUUAUCACGAGAUUUUCUGAUAUGGCAGGGCAUGUGGAUUAAAUUAGAUUUUGUUUUACUUUCCCGUUAAAUCAUUUGUUUGUAUUUAUUUUGUGGCUACUAUACUACUGAAUAAGAAUGAUGCAUGGUUAAAGUGCUUGUGAAAAUAAUUACUUACAAUUGUAAUCAGAUUUCACUGUCUGCAAUGCAUUUAGCAAUGGAGUUACUUGUAUUGUUGCACUGAUAAUAGUUCGGUAAUCUAGAUGGGCUUUUAGAAGGUAUGCUUCUUGUAGGAAGGAGACUCACGAAUUGGGCAAUUAGCUAUAGAAAUAACAUAUACUGGGAUACUUUUGCUAACGAAUGAGCAACUUGAUCGAUCAAGAUUUAGAAUUAGUUCUCUUACGGUACUGUUCGUAAAAUGCUCCUGUGGAGUACACAAGUUUGACUCGGGCAAUAACAUAAACUCUAGCUACAGACUCCUUGCAAAACUUGCAGUUUCCUUUACUACCCUACUUCUAUUGCGACAGUAGAACACCAUAGCUAUUGGUCACAGAAAGUAGUAACCCCUGUUAUUUCUUGGUGUUACCAACUGCCCAUGCUCAUUAACCCCUGUUCUUUAAAGUAGUAACCUUGAAAACAUUCGGCUUAUUAUUAGUUACUGGGCUGAGUUUUUACAAGUUAUUGGUCGGAGUUAAACCUCUGAGUUACUUUAUUAGUUAUUAGUAUUAUAUAGUUAGAAAAAUAGUUGAGCAAUAGGAAGUCCUUGCUGAUCAGUAUAUACCAAAGAAUUUGACAGGUUUUGGUUCUAACUAUUUUACUUUAAUAGUUUUUCUUGCUGUUUGUAACAGAUAUAUAGAAAUUUUUGUAAUAUAUUGGAAUAUGCUUGAAUCAGAUCUUUGCAACUGGUUUGGUGUUUCAUGCAUGCCCUAUGGCUGGAGAUCAUGUCAUCAAGCUAUAUCUCAAUUUUUUUAGUGAUUAUUGGAUUUGGUUCAAUCAUUUAUACCUAAAAUUUACUUUUACUUUGUUUUUGUUCUCACAUUCCUUCUAAAU